AACUGCGUCACGGCCCAGCGGCAUCUGUCCGGGACGCCUCACUCUGAAAGGCAAGGUGCGGACAGUGAAGGCAAAUAAAACAGCAUUCAUGUAACACUGUGAGAUCUCAGCUAAUGGAGAGAGUGAUACCCUUUCUACCUGGGUUAAGGAGCAAUGUCCAACUGUAAAAAGAUAACUAGAUGAAAAUUCUGAUACACAAAGUUUGAAGAACUUGGUCACAGACAUACUUCUGGCAAGUGGCAAAGCCAGACACAUAACCAAGCAAAAUAGCCUUGGCGUUUGUUGUCUUAAAUAUACCCUCUAUUUUGCACUCAUGUGUACCUUAUCCCUACCAUUUAAAUAGAGCUGUAGUACAAACUAUAUAUUAAUUACAUAUGAAAGGAUUAAACGCAAGUUUUGGAAAUGUUAGUGUUUACUUAAAUGACGAUUCAUAAUUCAGCCAGAAUGUAGGAAUUUGAAAAGACUUGUCAGGAUAUUUUGAGUCCUCAUGAAUGGGAGUAGACUGCUUCCACUUACUUCAAGACAAAUGAGAGGGAUUUCCAAAAGAAUGCCAGAUGAACUUGAACUUGGAGGAUGUGGAGGCUCUGGUAUCUGAUUCAUAUCUAAUCUAGAAGCCAAGUCUGACUGAAGAGACUUGGUGGCAGCAUGUUAGAUAGUACAAGCAGGAAAUAACUCCACUUACACUGAGACAGAACUAAGGUUGCAUGUUUUCUCUGCUCCAGAUGUAGGCUGUACAAUGUUGUCUUACACUACCUCCAAGAAUUCUGUCUAAAGAAGAGGAGACCACAAUAGAAAGAUAGGCAAUAAGGAGAGGCAUCAUAGAUAACCACUCAUAGGGAUGCAUGUGUACUCACGAAGGAAGUUGUUAGGGCAAGACCGCAAUUAUUGCAGAUCCCCAGAGAAUCCACAGAAGUACCCCAUGAAACCAGCAGGUUACUCAUCUGCCUUGCUAGAGGAAACCAGUGCUAGAUUACCAGUCUUUCCUGACACUUAAUUUUACCAAAGGAGUCAGAAGCUGUGAUUAGUCCAUCCUCUCCCUCACUGUAAGUUAUGCCAAUCAUCCUGCCCUUCUUUAUGUUCCUCUAAUGCAUCACGUUAUCUCUGCUUCAGGAUUUUUACAUUAAUCACCUCUGCCUUAUCUAUUCUUUGUUGAGAUUAUGAGGAGGUUACUUCAGAGAGUAUUUACAUAUUGAAUAGUGUUUCCUCAGAGAGGGCUUCUCUUUUUAGUAUGCUUGUGCUGCUAUAAUAAAAUACCACAGACUAAAUAAUUUUUUUAAAAAAUGAUAAAUUCAAGGCCGGCGCCGCGGCUCACUAGGCUAAUCCUCCACCUUGCGGUGCCGGCACACCGGGUUCUAGUCCCGGUG